rnacentral:rRNA from 1 species
GAGUUUGAUCCUGGCUCAGGAUGAACGCUAGCGGCAGGCCUAACACAUGCAAGUCGAGGGGUAGAGUUAGCUUGCUAACUUGAGACCGGCGCACGGGUGCGUAACGCGUAUGCAAUCUACCUUGUACAGGGGGAUAGCCCAGAGAAAUUUGGAUUAAUACCCCAUAGUGUUAUCGAAUCGCAUGGUUUGAUAACUAAAGUUCCAACGGUACAAGAUGAGCAUGCGUCCCAUUAGCUAGUUGGUGUGGUAAUGGCAUACCAAGGCAAUGAUGGGUAGGGGUCCUGAGAGGGAGAUCCCCCACACUGGUACUGAGACACGGACCAGACUCCUACGGGAGGCAGCAGUGAGGAAUAUUGGUCAAUGGGCGCAAGCCUGAACCAGCCAUGCCGCGUGCAGGAUGACGGUCCUAUGGAUUGUAAACUGCUUUUAUACGGGAAGAAACACUCCUACGUGUAGGAACUUGACGGUACCGUAAGAAUAAGGAUCGGCUAACUCCGUGCCAGCAGCCGCGGUAAUACGGAGGAUCCAAGCGUUAUCCGGAAUCAUUGGGUUUAAAGGGUCCGUAGGCGGUCUUAUAAGUCAGUGGUGAAAGCCCAUCGCUUAACGAUGGAACGGCCAUUGAUACUGUAGGACUUGAAUUAGUGGGAAGUAACUAGAAUAUGUAGUGUAGCGGUGAAAUGCUUAGAUAUUACAUGGAAUACCAAUUGCGAAGGCAGGUUACUAUCACUAUAUUGACGCUGAUGGACGAAAGCGUGGGGAGCGAACAGGAUUAGAUACCCUGGUAGUCCACGCCGUAAACG